AUGGCCUGGGCUCCUCUCUUCUUCAUUGUCACCACUCUCUUCACAGGGUCGCUCUCGCAGCCUGUGCUGACUCAGCUGCCCUCUGCAUCUUUCUCCCUGGGACGGACACACAAACUCACCUGUAUCCUGAGCAGUAACUACAGUAAUUAUACCAUGGACUGGUUCCAGCAGAGCCAGGGGAAGGGCCCCCGGUUUGUGAAGCGAGUGGGUACUAGUGUAAUUGUUGGCUCCAAUGGGCAUGGAAUCCCUGACCGAUUAUCAGGAUCAGGCUCUGGCUUAGAUCGGUACCUGACUAUCCAGAACAUACAAGAAGAAGAUGAGAACGUUUACUACUGUGAAGUAAACCACGGCAGUGUCAGUAGCUUUGUAUAA